rnacentral:rRNA from 1 species
CCUACGGGUGGCUGCAGUGAGGAAUAUUGGUCAAUGGACGAGAGUCUGAACCAGCCAAGUAGCGUGAAGGAUGACUGCCCUAUGGGUUGUAAACUUCUUUUAUAUGGGAAUAAAAUGUUCCACGUGUGGGAUUUUGUAUGUACCAUAUGAAUAAGGAUCGGCUAACUCCGUGCCAGCAGCCGCGGUAAUACGGAGGAUCCGAGCGUUAUCCGGAUUUAUUGGGUUUAAAGGGAGCGUAGGUGGAUUGUUAAGUCAGUUGUGAAAGUUUGGGGCUCAACCGUAAAAUUGCAGUUGAAACUGGCAGUCUUGAGUACAGUAGAGGUGAGCGGAAUGCGUGGUGUAGCGGUGAAAUGCUUAGAUAUCACGAAGAACUCCGAUUGCGAAGGCAGUUCACUGGACUGCAACUGACACUGAGGCUCGAAAGUGUGGGUAUCAAACAGGAUUAGAUACCCGGGUAGUC